GCGAGCGGUAGAAGAGCUGGCCGUUCUUCACGUAGGCCUCCAGGUUCUGCUCCUCCUUGUCCCGGGCCGACUGGACUAGCCUCAGCCACAUCAAGCCCUCUGAGUGACACCGCUCAAGACGUAUUUGAGUCAAUGGCAAUUCAUCAAACUUCCUCUUUGGCUCUAAACCUUCCACAUUUAGCGCUUGGACACCGAGCACUGGAGCACGGAGAGCACCUCAACGUGCGGGCAUCCCGGGUAGUCCUCACAGCGGAUCUCUGCCGCUGUCUGUCUGUACUGUGUUCAGACUCAUUUAGGGGGCGCCAGUGUAUAAUUCGCAUUGACCGACCGGCUGAUAUUUCUGAUGGAGAAUGAAAGGAAAGCUGCAGCAGAGAGACACGAGAGCAGAAAGUGUUUGUGUUGUGAGGCCACCUAACAAAUCAGCUCCUCCACAGCUUCAGUUGAUAAAUCUGACUCCAGCUUGUCCGAAGCAUCCUGUGGUGAACUUGGUGAUCAGAAGUGCAUCAAAGAUUCAGCGAGUUAGGGAGUGAUUUCUGGCUCCGGCCCCUGAAUCUCCUCAUCACUUAUCAGUGACCUCGUCACUGCCGAGCUGAGUUGCCGUCGACCCAGAUGCAGCGAAGAAGAUCCGGACGUGCGAGAGGCAAAGGCCCGAACAGAGGCACCCUCACAAGAGGGAUGAGCGAGUGGAGGAGUCAGUGCAGACCUUCCAGUGUCUUUCCAAAGGAGGGCAGAAGAGGAGAAGGAAGAGAAGAGGCAGAGGCUCUGAGGGAAAAAUCUAAAAGGAAGUGUGGGAUGUUUGUGUGUGUGUGUGUGUGUGUGUGCUGAGGGAGGGCGGAGAGGCGCGCACGCAUGAGGAAACGGUUUCUGUGAUAGUGGAAGAGGGAAGCUGCGGCGGUACAAGUCAUCUGUGUGUCCAAGAGGUACUGGCACAUUCGAUAACAAGUUUACAUAAAUAAAUGUGAAUCUGGCUGCGCGGCUGCAGCGAUGUAACAGUGACUCAACCUUCAGUGGGUUCAGGAAAGCGUUUUUAUUUAAGUCCUCCUCCGUCACACAAGAAGUGAUUAUUUAUUUUUGGCUUUUUUUUAUAAGACCAAAAUAUCAGUUUUUAAAAAGAGAAUUUUACUAUUGAGUUAUUG